ensembl:lncRNA
AUGUGAGUACUACAGAAUAGGCUGGAAGGAGUACUGGUACAUGGGCCCCAAAUGUAACCACCUUUGGAACACUCUGACUUUCAUUUUAGUUGCUACUCUUCCUGCAGUGGCACUGGUUGUCAUAGUGGUUGUAAUAUUUUCCGUUGUCUGCUACUCAAAAACGGAAAAAGCUUGGAAGCAGCCAAAGCCUCCAUCCAGUGGAGCACAGCGGAACCCUGCAUUCAGUUCUGACACAGCUGCUGACCUGGAGCACGGGCACCAUCAGCCAGCCGGGACACAGGAUGCCUGGGUUGGACAAAUUCCAAAAGUUGUACUGAAAAGACAAGAUUUUAAUGAUGCUUCAAUCCCAAGUCAAAACCAUAAUUACAGUCAUGUGUACGAUCAGCCUCUGAGGACAGCAGGUCCAUCAUCAGAUUAUUUCCCUCAGUCCCGAGCCCAGCAGGAUGAGUUUGACUAUUCCAGGAAGGAUUUGCCUUAUCCAGUUUAUCCAGAGGCGAGACAGUACCGGAGAUACUAAGAACACAUGCUUCCUAUAUCACAUGUCUUGGAGUGCUGCAUGAUCAGUGGACAAUCCAGGUGCUGAGAGAGCAGUGAGGCCCUGGUGAGACACAGAGGAAAUUGCCAUCCCUAUCAGAGAGCACUGAGUUAUUGCCAAGAGAAGGUAUAGGGGAUAAUUGUAAAAGAAAACCUGAUCUGACAUGACAUUAACAUUUAAUUUAUUUACUGUGUGAUUGGUGACAGCUUUGUGUGAAUCCCUGAUUCUGCAGUGCACAAGGGUCUGGCCUGGCAGUGUGGUACAAACACAGCCAAGGACUUGGCCUCUCUCUGUCCCAAGAUCUAUCAAAUACCUACAGACCCAUUCCCUUGUCUCUUGUUUUUGCUUUGUCUUCCUUCUGUGUUGAUCCUAGCAGCUGGAAUGGUUUGCCUUUAAAACUGCCCUGGCUUGCUUUGUACCUUUCUUUAAAUGAGGAAAAUAAAUGAGGCUGACUACCUUGCCACUAAAGUAACAAAGAGACUGAAGACUGGGAUUUAUUUCCCAUUUCCAAAAAGUCUGAAGCACGUUAUAUUGUGGUUUAUAUUAAAUCAUUUCCCUUAGUAUUGGGUAAUAUGUGAAGCUAUAUGAAAAAACCAGAAUCUUAAGGAUUAGAGAAAGGUGUUUUUGAUAUUUGGUAACCAAAUGUAACCAAAAUGCAAAGUGGGCAAAUUUCGCUAGGUUUACUUCUACUGCUGCAAACUCUGAGUCUGGUUCCCUCUCUUAUCUUCAGAAACACACAGAAACGAUGUUAGCACAUCUGUUUAGAGCCCAGAAUAUCAGCUUAAACCAUUCCGACCUCAGAAAUGCAGAUCCAAAGGUGUCAGGGAAUUGUGUCAGUGAAUUGCUUUUCUCUGACACUUCUCAGCCUCGGGUGGUGCCACAAUCUGACAAACUGUGGUGGUUGCUGACCUCAAUCCAUCUCUGUUGUACCAACCUCAGAGUGACCACAGAAUGUGAGUGUUCAAUUUGAUGUUCCACCACUGCUCCAAAAAGGAGUAGGAGGAACAGCUAAGGCAGUGCAGUCAAUAUCCAUGGUGCUGCCAAGAGCAGAGCUGGCUAAACUGAGUCUCUCUCACCCUUUCCCCCAGUGUUCAGUUUUGUCAUCACCUUUUCCAGGUAUUUUCUCUUCAUUCCUGAGUUGCAUUGGGUAGUUUGAAAUUAUUUUGUCAUAGGAAUGUCUGUCUCUUGCUAGAGCUAGACAAAAUGACUCGAAUGUCCUUUCUACUGAAUUUACUUUGGUGUGUGCUAUGUGGCUUUACUCUUCAAAAGAAAAAAAAAGAAAAAAAGGAGGCGGGUCAAAUGUAAAUCUUCAAAUUCUCUGCUAAGGAGCUGAAGUCCAGGAGGAUGAAUCUUUUGAGAAUUACAGAAGCUGCAUGUCUCUCUUGUCCUGAGGAGCCAGAACCAGACAGAGCACUCCAGCUGUGGUCACAGGGUCCCCUGGGGAUGCCCCAUCUCAGGGUGCCCACCUUGGCUCGCCCACCCUGUGCUGGCCCAGCUGCCAGACCCCAGACAGGGCACCCCUGCAUUCCCUCAGCAUCUGAGGGCAUUGGGUCACAUUCCCAGGGAUCCACUUCUGCCUUUACACUUCACUUGGAAACACAGCUCUGGCUUUGGAAUCGUCUUCCUGUCUAUUCCUUAAGGAAUAAAGACAUGGGAACAGGCACCAAGCGUUACCCAAGUCCUCCUUUGCUCAAAUUUCGACACCAGGCUCUGAAUCUUGUGACAAAGAGUAAUGCAAAGUUUCCAAGGCAAGCUGCUAUGCUUGUCAUGAGAAGGUUCAUGUCU